rnacentral:snRNA from 1 species
GGGUGUGAGGACUGCCACAUCUGUCACCCCAUUGAUCGUCAGAGUUGAUUUGGCUGAUAUGGCUGACUAGGUAGGCCUCCCCUUCUGCCCUCACUGCUCCAUGUGCAUCCCUUCCAAAGCUGGGCACUUCAUCCAAGAGGACGACCUUCCCCAAGUAGAGGUGGACCAGUCUUCGGCCAUGGCAUACAGAAGCUGCAUUCUCCUGCUAUGACCUCCAAACAGUUUCUCAAGAAACAGUGUCCCACAUGGGGGACUGGAGGCUCUACAUUACUGCCUCCAGGAGCAGGUUGAUGACUGCACUGUUUUUU